rnacentral:rRNA from 1 species
UUGACCUCGGAUCAGGUAGGGAUACCCGCUGAACUUAAGCAUAUCAAUAAGGGGAA